rnacentral:lncRNA from 1 species
AUCUGGAUUGUGUUUUGUAGGUCCGUAGUAGAGUUAGGCUUGAAUUGGCAAAAGUUGAAAUUUUAGAAAUUUGAUCUGGAGUGGAAUAUUUGUAUCGUGUUUGGAUUGGAUUUCAUGAAGUUAUAGUAGGUACUUGGUGUCAUUUAUGACUUACGUGCAAAUUUUGAGAUCAAUCAGAUGUGAUUUGAUAUAUUUUGACGCCGUUUGUAGACUUUGGAAAUUUUAAAGUUCAUUAGGCUUUAAAUCGUGGGUAAUUGGUGUUUUUAUGUUGUUUGAGAUGGUUUGAGAGUUCGACUAAGUUCGUAUGAUGAUUUGGGUGGUUAAAGGAUCAUUUUUAGCUGAUGUCUGGUGUUGUGUUCUUUCUGGUUUCCUUUUACAUGUUCGCAAGAGGAGCCUCAUGUUCGCGAAGGGUUAAUGUGUGCUGGGAAGAUUUUUUUUCUUUGGUUUCGCGAACGCGAAGGUUUGGUUUGCAUGUGUAUCAUAAAUGCGGUAGUGGUGUCGCAUUCAUGAUGAGAAGUGAGGUAGCUAGAGACCCCAAGAAUUUGGUCUACGCAUUAAGCUGGUAAAGCUUCGCAUUGGCCGCGUUCGCAAAGAGAAGUGAGGCAGCUGGGGACCCCAGGUAUUUUGUCUACGCAUUCGCGAUGAGUUGAGCUGGUAAUGCAUUGCGUACGUCGCAUUCACGAUGAGUUAACUGGGAGGCUGUCUGUUUUGUGCUUCACGAUCACGAGGCUAAUUCCGUGAUUGCUAUGAAGAAAAUCUGGGCAGACAGUACUAAUUUCAAUAAAUGAGGGUUUAAACCCAUUCUUCAAAUUUUGAGUGAGAGACCACGAAUUUUGGUGAUUCUUGAAGGGAUUUUCGUGGAGUUGAUUGGGGUAAGUAAUUCUUACUUGGUUUUUGUUAAAUAUCAUGAUUAUGUUUUUAAUUUUAUCAUCUAAUUUGUGAUUUCGGGUGAAAAAUUGGGGAACAAGAGGGAGUGUUCUUGAGUUACAUUUUUGAGGUUUUAAAUGGGAUUUAAUUGUCGGAUUUGAGUAAAUUUGGUAUGGUUAGACUUGUGAGUGAAUGAGGUUUUGAGUUUUGUGACUUUUGUUGAUUGUGAGAUCUUGGCCCAAGGGUCGGGUUUGAGCUGAUUUUGGAUUUUUGGCUUUGGUGUAGUACUUUUCUUGUGGAAUUGAUCCAUUUAGCCUAUAUUGAUUGUAUUGUACUACUUGUGGCUAGAUUAGGGCAUGUUUGGAGACCAACUAGAGAGGUAAAGGCACUUUAGAGUAUUGAUUUGCUUGGUUUGAGGUAAGUAACACUUUCAAACUUGGUCUUGAGGGUUCGAAACCCCAAAUUUUAUGUUAUGUGAUUGAUUUUGAGGUGACGCACAUGCCAAGUGACGGGCGUACGGGCGUGCACCGUGAGAACUGCGACCUAGUUGAUUACAUGGAAUUGUAUAGUGACUCUAUUUUGUUGAUGUACGUAUUUACACCAUGUAAUAUAGUAAUUAAGCUAUCAAUCAUAUUAGAAAUCAUGUUUAGGUUUUAUGCUUAUAGUGUUGGGAUCCAUAGUGGUCGUUUAUUGUUGUCAUAUUACUAAUUUCAUUAAUAUUGUGUACUUAGCCAUGUACAUGCAUUUCAUAUCAUAUCUAAGUCUCAUUUGUUAUUUAUUGAUUCAUCAUAUCAUUAUUCUGGGCUUUGUUUUAUGACAUUGUGAGCCCGCGAGUAAGACUGGAGAUAUUUAUGACUAAGUAAGGAUCCUUAUUAUGAGUGACAGUUGUAGGAUCAUGUUGUACAGCGCAUCGAUUAUAUUUAUUUGUGAUAGUGUAGGAGCCCUCCGGAGUGUGUACACACCUUCAAUGACCGCAUUUGAUAUUAUUGAGGGAUGGAUCUUCCCCAGAUAUAGAUAUUUUCUGAAGUACUUGAUACUUGGAGAUGGAUCUUCUCCACAGGGCUGGAUUAGCCUUCCUCGGAAAUAGAUGACUGAUGGUCAGUGAUGUAUAUAUUCUGGGAUGGAUUUUCCUUAGGCCAUAUGGUCCAUAUACAGUACUGAGGGGUUGAUCAUUUGAGCGUGUGAGCACAUGAGGCUGAUAACAUAGUGCAUCACAUACAGCAUAUGCAUUGGCAUUAGAUAUAACAUAUAUAUAUUCUUUACAUUGGUCAUUUCUGCUCUACUUUAUUGUUUUGAGCUGCCUAUUUAAUUUGAAAUCAUGCCUAUAUUUUGCUUGAUUAUUUAUAUUUAUCUUUAUCGAUUGUGUUCGUCAUAAUCUUCCAGUCCAUAGUUUGGACUUCUCACUUACUGAGUUGGAUGUGCUCACAUUAUUCCCUCAUCUCAUGUGCAGAUCCAGGUGUUUCUAGACAUGGUGAAGGUUGCUGGUUGAGGCUUCAGAGUUCAGAGACUACAAAGGUAGCUACAUUGUGUUCAC